rnacentral:piRNA from 1 species
UCUGAAACUCUAAAACUUGUUGAUCCCAG